rnacentral:rRNA from 1 species
CAGCAGCCACGGGAAUACGUAGGGUGCAAGCGUUGUCCGGAAUUAUUGGGCGUAAAGAGCUCGUAGGCGGUUUGUCGCGUCUGCUGUGAAAUCCCGAGGCUCAACCUCGGGCUUGCAGUGGGUACGGGCAGACUAGAGUGCGGUAGGGGAGAUUGGAAUUCCUGGUGUAGCGGUGGAAUGCGCAGAUAUCAGGAGGAACACCGAUGGCGAAGGCAGAUCUCUGGGCCGUAACUGACGCUGAGGAGCGAAAGCGUGGGGAGCGAACAGGAUUAGAUACCCGCGUAGUCCCUGUCUCUUAUAC